rnacentral:rRNA from 1 species
GACGAACCGUGCGAACGUUGUUCGGAAUCACUGGGCUUAAAGGGCGCGUAGGCGGGCCAUAAAGUCAGGGGUGAAAUCCUCCAGCUUAACUGGAGAACUGCCUUUGAUACUGAUGGUCUCGAGUAAGGUAGGGGCAUGCGGAACUGAUGGUGGAGCGGUGAAAUGUGUUGAUAUCAUCAGGAACUCCGGUGGCGAAGGCGGCAUGCUGGACCUUCACUGACGCUGAGGCACGAAAGCUAGGGUAGCGAACGGG